rnacentral:rRNA from 1 species
GAUGAACGCUGGCGGCGUGCCUAAUACAUGCAAGUCGAGCGAACGGACGAGAAGCUUGCUUCUCUGAUGUUAGCGGCGGACGGGUGAGUAACACGUGGAUAACCUACCUAUAAGACUGGGAUAACUUCGGGAAACCGGAGCUAAUACCGGAUGAUCUUUUGAACCGCAUGGUUCAAAAGUGAAAGACGGUCUUGCUGUCACUUAUAGAUGGAUCCGCGCUGCAUUGGCUGGUUGGUAAGGUAACGGCUUACCAAGGCAACGAUGCAUAGCCGACCUGAGAGGGGGAUCGCCGACAUGGGAAGGGAGCCAGGGUCCAGACUCCUACGGGAGGCAGCAGUAGGGAAUGGUAGGCAAUGGGCGAAAGCCUGACGGAGCAACGCCGCGUGAGAGAUGAAGGUCUUGGGAUCGUAAAGCUCUGUUAUUAGGGAAGAACAGAUGUGUAAGUAACUGUGCACAGCUUGACGGUACCUAAUCAGAAAGCCACGGCUAACUACGUG